GAUGAACGCUGGCGGCGUGCCUAAUACAUGCAAGUCGAGCGAACAGACGAGGAGUUUGCUCCUCUGACGUUAGCGGCGGACGGGUGAGUAACACGUGGAUAACCUACCUAUAAGACUGGGAUAACUUCGGGAAACCGGAGCUAAUACCGGAUAAUAUAUUGAACCGCAUGGUUCAAUAGUGAAAGACGGUUUUGCUGUCACUUCUAGAUGGAUCCGCGCCGCAUUAGCUAGUUGGUAAGGUAACGGCUUACCAAGGCAACGAUGCGUAGCCGACCUGAGAGGGUGAUCGGCCACACUGGAACUGAGACACGGUCCAGACUCCUACGGGAGGCAGCAGUAGGGAAUCUUCCGCAAUGGGCGAAAGCCUGACGGAGCAACGCCGCGUGAGUGAUGAAGGUCUUCGGAUCGUAAAACUCUGUUAUUAGGGAAGAACAAAUGUGUAAGUAACUAUGCACGUCUUGACGGUACCUAAUCAGAAAGCCACGGCUAACUACGUG
rnacentral:rRNA from 1 species